AAAUGGCUGAUGUUUGUUUUUGUUUUCUGUGCUGGUAAAGAACUGUACACCAGGCUUCCCUUGUGCCUUCCUGACGUAACCAGCUCGAAGCAGUGCAUGCAAGUACUAACCCUGUUCUGAGGGUUAACCAGCGCAAGCAGAGAUCAGAGGCGCUCUCAGAUCACGAGCGAGUGUGAAUGUUUCGAAAUCACAGUCUUUGACACGAUUCAUCUUUCUUUAAUUACACCGUUCCCAGGGGAGUGAGCGGGGUAGUUAACCAGUCAAAUAAGCAGUAAAGCAAUUAUUGGGUCAGAAUGAAUACAAUUCUGACAUCUUUAAUCACUAGGGAAGUCUGUGCCUGGAGAAAAGCAGGGUUCUGGUCUCUCCCAGAGCUGGCAGAUGAGAUGAAACCGCGUCGCAUUGGCUUUUCAACACUGAAGUGAUCUUCUGAGAUCGUCUCAAAUCUGAACCUUUAACCUCAGGCUGUGGUUUUACUCUCCUGCGGUCGGCCUGACUCAUUCUAACAUGCUUCAGAGCGAGCUGGACCAGGAGUAUCAGGACAAGUUUCGGAGGCUCCCAGCGGAAAUCCAAGAGUUCGUGCAGGACUCUGCUGCUUGUAAAGGCAAGUUAAGCCAAGACAGUGACUUUCUUCCCAUUUCCAGAACGCCGGGGAAGCUGAAGCCCUCGCUCUCGCCAGCUGAAGAUGUGGAGCGAUCUUCAGAGAAAGUCUUCGACACACCACUCUGAGCUAGUUGUACCUUUGCAAACACGUUUUUGUACUUCAUACGCUGUUGAGUUUCCCUGAUUUAAUGUGCACCUUUUAGUACGACGACUGGAUGACUUACUAGAACGAUGUUAAAAAUAUUUUUUUUUCUUACUUUUAAAACUCACAAGAACUCGCUGCUUAUGUGGAUUUAAAUAUGUUUAGAUGGACUCUUGUGUAUGUUUAGAUGAGUCUUACUGUCACUUAAUGAUUCUGAACAGCUCUUUUAAUUUGAAAUUUAGGCUCUACUUAGGUCACAUAUGUUGUCAUGAACCAUUCUGCCACAAUUUAGACUGUAUGAAUGCAUUAUAUAUAUAUAUAUAUAUAUAUAUAUAUACUGUAUAUAGCAACACAUGGAUAUGAAACAAAGGCAUCAAGUGAUUAAUUGGCUUGCAUGUUAUUGUACAAAUAUGUGAUGUGGAAGGAAAACAUUUUUUUACUACAAGAUUAUGAAGAUUUACAGUUACAUUUAUGCAUUUGGCAGACUUACACUGAUCAGUUCAUUCAUUCCCUGGGAAUUGAACCCACAACCUUAACUUUACUAGCGCUCGAUGUACUGUUGGAACUGCAGGAUGAUGUUUAAUAAAGAUUCUUUUGUGCCACAAAGAGGAAUAUUUGACCACAAACACACUGUGGGAAAACGUUUAUGGCCCAAAACAAACCAUAACUGACCAGAGUCACGACUGGACCAAAGUUUUCAAAUGAAGAUGAACUUUCAAGUCAACAAAACACUGUCAUUAAUGUGAUGAAUGUGUUUACCGGUGGAAGAAGUGAACAUGUGUGUGUGACAGACUCGACGCUGCCAGUUUCUGAGGUUCUUUAUCAAUGUUUACCAGACAACACUAAACAGCACUAGUGCUGCACACAUGCACAGCAUCUCGAGGCUCUGAACACCUUUACCUUCUCUAAUGCAUCAUGUGUAAAUGGGUCAUUGUAAAAGAACAGUCUGUGGUUGUCUAGUGCACUAAUGAGUGAAGCUUGUGACUAGCAGUAUUCCAGAGAACAGUUAGUCAUAGAGACAGCUUCACACGCUUUUCACCUGAAGUUUCUCCUCGCUGAUGUUGAUGUCAAGUGUAAGCGGGUUAUAAAUGCCUGUGUAUGAAAUAAAUGUUGCUUCUGUCUAAAUGUGUCGCAUGCUGUCUU
rnacentral:lncRNA from 1 species